rnacentral:rRNA from 1 species
UACGUAGGGUGCAAGCGUUGUCCGGAAUCAUUGGGCGUAAAGAGCGUGUAGGCGGUCCGGUAAGUCUGCUGUGAAAGUCCAGGGCUCAACCCUGGAAAGCCGGUGGAUACUGUCGGGCUAGAGUCCGGAAGGGGCGAGUGGAAUUCCUGGUGUAGCGGUGAAAUGCGCAGAUAUCAGGAGGAACACCAAUGGCGAAGGCAGCUCGCUGGGACGGUACUGACGCUGAGACGCGAAAGCGUGGGGAGCAAACAGG